rnacentral:rRNA from 1 species
UCAAGUGAAUAAGUGCAUGUGGUGGAUGCCUUGGCGAUUACAGGCGAUGAAGGACGUUGUAGCCUGCGAAAAGCCGCGGGGAGCUGGCAAACAAGCUUUGAUCCGCGGAUGUCCGAAUGGGGAAACCCACCCGCAAGGGUAUCGCUGACUGAAUCCAUAGGUCAGCGAGGCGAACGUGGCGAACUGAAACAUCUAAGUAGCCACAGGAAAAGAAAUCAACCGAGAUUCCGAAAGUAGUGGCGAGCGAAAUCGGAGCAGCCUGUGCGUGAUAGUCGAUUGGCUAGUGGAACGGUAUGGAAAGGCCGGCCAUAGAGGGUGAUAGCCCCUUACACGAAAGCGAAUCGGUGGUACUGAGCGUACGACAAGUAGGGCGGGACACGUGUAAUCCUGUCUGAAGAUGGGGGGACCAUCCUCCAAGGCUAAAUACUCGUAAUCGACCGAUAGUGAACAAGUACUGUGAAGGAAAGGCGAAAAGAACCCCGGGAGGGGAGUGAAAUAGAUCCUGAAACCGCAUGCAUACAAACAGUCGGAGCCUCGCAAGGGGUGACGGCGUACCUUUUGUAUAAUGGGUCAGCGACUUACGUUCAGUGGCAAGCUUAACCAGAUAGGGGAGGCGCAGGGAAACCGAGUCCGAAUAGGGCGCCAUAGUCGCUGGGCGUAGACCCGAAACCAGGUGAUCUAUCCAUGGUCAGGAUGAAGGUUGGGUAACACCAGCUGGAGGUCCGAACCGACUAAUGUUGCAAAAUUAGCGGAUGAACUGUGGAUAGGGGUGAAAGGCUAAUCAAACCUGGAAAUAGCUGGUUCUCCCCGAAAACUAUUUAGGUAGUGCGUCAUGUAUUGCUCCAGGGGGUAGAGCACUGUAAUGGUUGUGGGGGCCAUCGCGGCUUACCACGCCAUAGCAAACUCCGAAUACCUGGAAGUAUGAGCAUGGCAGACAGUCGCCGGGUGCUAACGUCCGGCGGCAAGAGGGAAACAACCCAGACCUACAGCUAAGGUCCCAAAGUGUGGCUAAGUGGGAAACGAAGUGGGAAGGCUAAAACAGUCAGGAUGUUGGCUUAGAAGCAGCCAUCAUUUAAAGAAAGCGUAAUAGCUCACUGAUCGAGUCGUCCUGCGCGGAAGAUGUAACGGGGCUAAGCCAUGCACCGAAGCUUAGGCUGCACUCUCUGAGUGCGGGGUAGGGGAGCGUUCUGUAAGCCUGUGAAGGUGUCUCGUAAGGGAUGCUGGAGGUAUCAGAAGUGCGAAUGCUGACAUGAGUAGCGUUAAAGCGGGUGAAAAGCCCGCUCGCCGUAAGCGCAAGGUUUCCUACGCAACGUUCAUCGGCGUAGGGUGAGUCGGCCCCUAAGGUGAGGGCGAAAGCCAUAGCUGAUGGGAAGCUGGUUAAUAUUCCAGCACCGAUUUCUAGUGCGAUGGGGGGACGGAUCGUGGAAGGUUGUCCGGGUGUUGGAAGUCCCGGUUCCUGACCUGUAGGUGUCUGGUAGGUAAAUCCGCCAGGCGUAUGCCGAGGGGUUGGGACGAGCGAGCUUGCUCGCGAAGCAACUGGAAGUGGUUCCAAGAAAAGCCUCUAAGCUUCAGCUAGAAACGACCGUACCGCAAACCAACACUGGUGCGCGAGAUGAGUAUUCUCAGGCGCUUGAGAGAACUCGGGAGAAGGAACUCGGCAAAUUGACACCGUAACUUCGGAAGAAGGUGUGCCUUGGUAGCUUGAGUGUGAACAACACAAGGGCAAAGAGGUUGCAAAGAAUAGGUGGCUGCGACUGUUUAUUAAAAACACAGCACUCUGCAAACACGAAAGUGGACGUAUAGGGUGUGACGCCUGCCCGGUGCCGGAAGGUUAAGUGAUGGGGUGCAAGCUCUUGAUCGAAGCCCCGGUAAACGGCGGCCGUAACUAUAACGGUCCUAAGGUAGCGAAAUUCCUUGUCGGGUAAGUUCCGACCUGCACGAAUGGCGUAACGACUUCUC